GAGUUUGAUCGUGGCUCCAGAUUGAACGCUGGCGGCAUGCCUUACACAUGCAAGUCGAACGGCAGCACGGGAGCUUGCUCCUGGUGGCGAGUGGCGAACGGGUGAGUAAUGCAUCGGAACGUAUCCUGGAGUGGGGGAUAACGUAGCGAAAGUUACGCUAAUACCGCAUAUUCUGUGAGCAGGAAAGCGGGGGACCUUCGGGCCUCGCGCUCUUGGAGCGGCCGAUGUCGGAUUAGCUAGUUGGUGAGGUAAAGGCUCACCAAGGCGACGAUCCGUAGCAGGUCUGAGAGGAUGAU
rnacentral:rRNA from 1 species